GAUCAUGGGUUGAUCAUUCUACCAACCAUUGAUCGUAUUUAUUCCUAAGUUCUGCGGUGGAGAUCAGUCUGAGGUUCAUUGCAUCGAAAGCGAGCAACAGGCACAACAUCUCAGGCUAAGCUUAAUAGUUCCACGGAUACUGCUGUAACACCUCAAGGUCUUGCGUUAAUGUUCCAAACUUACCAGCUGAAACCUAGGCUUGUGGGCUAUCACAGGUUUAAUUUUGAGAGAGAUGGAGAAACAUUUGGAGGAACAUCAGAGUCCA